GUAGGCUACGGUACCGGAUAUCAUAUCCAGGCUCAGGGCUGCCGAGAGAAUUUGUUGGGCCUGGGGCAAAUCUUCUUUGGGGGCCUCAUGACUAGACCUUAACUAGAUUGCAUGUGGAGCUACUGUAAGGGGUCCUCAAUUUAAAGAAUGCUCUAACCUAUUCAAUUUUAGGCUCUUAAUCUCAAGUUAGGACCCUAUUCCCCCUCUCGGCAGAUAGUGGAUAGUAAAAUAAUCUUACUAUCCAGUAUUUUGGAAGAAACCAGCAUUGACCUUUGAGAUUUGUGAGCAAGGCUUUGGCAAUACCCUUGUUUAGAGUAAAACUCUUUUUUAUGAUUUCACAUAUCUUUUGAAGUCAAAGUAUUGUAAACACCCUCACUUUAUAACCAAUUAAAAUAAUUAUUUAUCUUUAAAAAUGAAA